CAUAAUCCUUGCCCAAUUGUUGCCUUGGCGACAUAUAUGUGUAGCUUCCGUCCCAAUAUAACCCCCAUCCCCCAUGACGAAAUCAGCUCUCUCUCUCUCUACCCCCAGAUUUCAAAUACUGAAUUCCUUCGAACCCAAAUCAUUAGUACCCGAAUCUCUAUGCUUCGUUUUCCUCGAUCUUCCUUCCUACUCUUCCAAUCUUGAAGUCCUAGAUUCAAUUUUGCACUUUCACUUAUUUUCGUUGAAGAGAUCUGUCCAAGAGGGAUUUCAAUCAAAGAUCUACUUUGCAGCUGGGUUUUAUAGAGAUGGGUUUCGAGCCUCCUUCUCCAACUAUUACAACUGAGGAAAUCACCCCCCUCCCCACUUCCAUGGACACAGAGAUGAGUACGCCACCACCGAUACGUCGCCAUUAUGAGAUUCAAGUUUUGAUUUUUAUGACUAACUGGGAUUUUAAAAUUUUCAGAUUGAUAAUAAUGCGGUCGCGAAUUGGGUUCUAGAUCGGGUUUUGUCAUAGCAAGCUCACCCUAGAGACGUUGAUGAAGUCAACGAUGGGAAAUUUUAUGGAUUUUAUGGUUUUAGAAGCUCAGAAGUGCAGUGGCUUGUUCUCUCGAAAAAGUGAAGCAUGUCGACAACAAAAACUGUGAAGGACGUCUCACCGCACGCGUUCGUGAAGCUUACGUGGCUCAUCUGAAGAGAUGGGGCAAGGUGGAACCAAUGAGAAGGCCGUUGCAUGAUUACAUGGAGAAGGUCUAGAAAGGAUUCGAUCAAUGCGACUAUGAGAGGUGUUCUUGUGAAUUGGUUUGUGGAGGUUCAAGAUGAAUAUGAUCUCCUUUCAAAGACUCUUCAUCUCACUGUGUCUUAUGUCGAUAAGUAUCUAUCAAUGAAUAUGGUGCGAAAGAGUGAGCUUCAGUUAGUUGGGGUGGCUUCGAUCUUCAUUGUCUCGAAGUAUGAAGAGAUUGAUCCGCCAAAUGCAAAAGAGCUUUCUAAUAUUAUUGAAAAUACAUUCACUAAAACGCAAUUGAUCAAGAUGGAGGCUGAUAUACUUUUUUCUCUGAAAUUUGAAAUGGGAAAUCCCAAUGUCUGUACAUUCUUGAGGUAAUGAUGGUUCUGAUCAUCAAAGAAAUUUGAAAUGGGAAAUCCCAAUGUCCGUACAUUCUUGAGGUUGAGUCUGCUAGCUGUUCGAUCUCAAAAGACUUGGAAGAAUUGGAAUGCAUGGACGGUUGGAGAAGUGUAAUAUGUUUUUUUUACAUGGAGAAAUGGUCUGUUUAUGAAAUUACCAUAAGUGGGUUUUAGUCUUUUAUCAAUACAAGAAUCAGAAACCAAGCCGUAAGUCGAGCCGCAUGUGCUGGGCUAAUUUUUUUUUGUUGAAAAAUUAUAAAUUUGGGCACGGACAUGUAAAACCGUCCCCAAGUGCAUGAGACCCCGAAUGAGGAUGGUACAAAUAGAGACGGACAUACAUUUUCUCCCCAACCAUCAAUAGGGACUGAAUCCGUCUCCUAUAACGUUGGUAGGGACGGAAUUAUGUAUGUCUCCAUUAAACGAUUAGCUAGUAGUGAAUAAGCAUUCCAUGUAGUAAUCGGUUUACUAUUACUACUAGUGAUAGGUUUCCUAUUUUACUUAUGUUAUGUCCAUGUAAUCCUUUAUAUAAAGA